rnacentral:rRNA from 1 species
GACAGAGGGUGCAAACGUUGUUCGGAAUUACUGGGCGUAAAGCGCGUGUAGGCGGCCCUGCAAGUCGGGUGUGAAAUCCCAUGGCUCAACUAUGGAAGUGCACUCGAAACUGCAGGGCUAGAGUCCUGGAGAGGAAGGUGGAAUGCUUGGUGUAGAGGUGAAAUGCGCAGAUAUCAGGAGGAACACCAAUGGCGAAGGCAGCACUCUGGGACGGUACUGACGCUGAGACGCGAAAGCGUGGGGAGCGAACAGG